rnacentral:rRNA from 1 species
AACUGCGAGUGAAGCGGGAAAAGCUCAAAUUUAAAAUCUGGCAGAUUUUUGUCUGUCCGAGUUGUAACCUAGAGAAGUGUAACCUGUGCUGGACCGUGUACAAGUCUCCUGGAAUGGAGCAUCAUAGAGGGUGAGAAUCCCGUCUUUGACAUGGACUACCAGUGCACUAGUGGUUGCACACUCAACGAGUCGAGUUGUUUGGGAAUGCAGCUCUAAAUGGGUGGUAAAUUCCAUCUAAAGCUAAAUAUUGGCGAGAGACCGAUAGCGAACAAGUACCGUGAGGGAAAGAUGAAAAGAACUUUGGAAAGAGAGUUAAACAGUAUGUGAAAUUGUUGAAAGGGAAACGCUUGAAGUCAGCUGCAUUGGCUGGGGAUCAAGCCAGCUUGAUUUGCUGGGUGUACUUCCUGGUUGAUGGGCCAACAUCAGUUUUGACCAUCAGAGAAAGGCUAAGGGAAUGUGGCACCUUUAUAGGUGUGUUAUAGCCCUUGGUUGUAUGUGAUGGUUGGGACUGAGGAUAGCAGCGUGCCGCAAGGCCAGGUUUCGACCAUGUUCACGCUUUGGAUGUUGGCAUAAUGGCUUUAAGCGACCCGUCUUGAAACACGGACCAAGGAGUCUAACAUGCAUGCAAGUGUUUGGGUGGAAAACUCAAGCGCGUAAUGAAAGUGAAAGUUGAGAUCCCUCUCACAGGGGAGCAUCGACGCCCGGACCAGAACUUUUGGGACGGAUCUGCGGUAGAGCAAGCAUGUUGGGACCCGAAAGAUGGUGAACUAUGCCUGAAUAGGGUGAAGCCAGAGGAAACUCUGGUGGAGGCUCGUAGCGAUUCUGACGUG